GCAUGUCAGACUUAUCAGAGCCUCUUUGUGACACAUAAAUGCCGUUUCUUUUGCUCCCGCCUUCAGUCGCUCCCAAUAUGCCACGGCGGUUAACUGCGGAGGAAAGGAGCGAAAUAAUCGGUGUAGGAAAGGCAGGCUUCUCUCAGAGGAAAAUUGCUGCCAUAAUAGGCCGUCCACAGAAAACUGCAAACCGUACCCUCAAUGCCUAUUUCAGGGAGGACCGUGUAGCGGAUGCCCCUCAUCAUCGCAGGCCCAGGAAAACGACUGAAGAUGAAGACCACCUCAUCGUAGCUGCAGCCGCCCAAGACCCCUUCACAACUGCACAAAAAAAAAUGCCGAGCAGAUCGACGUUGAUGUUAGUCUGCCCACUAUUCGAAGGCGACUUCAUGAGGCAGGACUGAAUAGUCACUUAGCCGCAAGGAAGCCCCUCCUUACGACAACUCAACUUCAGAAACGUUUAGAAUUUGCCAACCGUCACAGAAACUGGACGUCGCACCAGUGGCAGCAAGUUAUAUUCAGCGACGGCUCCACAUUCUCCACUUGCUGGAAUCAGCGACUCCGCGUCUGGAGGGUCUCCGGGUCCAGGUACGAUGAGGACAACGUCCUGAACUUUGUUGUCAGCGGACGUGUCUCUGUGAACGUGUGGGGUGCCAUCAGCUACGCAGGUCUUGGCCUGCUGUACCGCAUUCCGGGGAGGCUGACAGCUGAAGCUUACAUAGAGAUUUGUAACAGCAUUCUUCUCCCAUGUGCUAUUAUUGGACCCUUCCCGGACGGCUGCUUUUAUUUUCAACAUGGCGGGUGCCCUGUACACGCCUGCAUCUGUAGUGCAGGAGUACCUGAACAGCAGUGGCUUCGCACAGCUGGAGUGGCCACCGCGGAGUCCGGACUUCAACAUAUUUGAAAACAUCUGGGAGAUUAUAAAACUAACCUGGCUCGCAUGCAUCCGGACACAGGGAGUCCAGAAACAUUGUGGCAAGCGGUAGAAGGCGAAUGGAAUCACGUUCGAGGAGACCCGGCCGUAGCCGAGUCACUCUAUGCAUCUUUGCCCAGGAGAAUCGAAAGCCUCCAAAGGAAAGGAGGGCGCCCUAUCAAGUAUUGAUAGAAAGUCAAUGCAUGUCUGAAGCGGGCAUUAUCGACAGAGUUUAUGUUGCAUGUUAUGGAUGAGUGCAGCAUGCUGAAAAUUAUCCUUUUUUUUUUUGCAGUGAGUAAAAUAUUGAUCAAUGUUAUGCCUUAA